rnacentral:misc_RNA from 1 species
UUUUUUUUUUUUUUUAAAUCCAUGCUAACGGGUCUUCUUGUGAAGUCCUAUUUAGGUUAAGUUUCACCUGCCCAUUUAUGUGAAAAAUUUUGUUCGACAAAGUUGCUUUGUAAUUGUUUUUUGAAAAUUUUAAGAUUUUUUUUUGUCAUUUUUGUAAUGAAGGCUUAAUAGUUAGUUAAUUUAGAACAUUUUUAUUUCCAUAUGAACAAUUUUUUACCACUAUUAGUCAAUUAUGACUAGAAAAUCAUAUUUAUUUGGAUGUUUAAUUAAAUAUAUGUUAAACUAUGAAUCUCAGUGAUUUUUUUACUUUAAAAGAUUCACAGUAGCAUCAGCAACUUCUAUACUCUGACCAAUAUUGUUGUUUAAAUGGUAAGGAUUAGAGACAAUAGUGAAUGUCAUCCAUACCAAACUUAUGAAGUUUAUUUUUAUCAAGUAUAUUUUUACUCGCUUAUUUAAAUAUAAAUGGAGGCAUGUUUCUUGAAAUUUUCAUUCUUUAAAAAUCUCAAUGAUAGGG